CUUCUGUCCAUGCAGAGCUUUGUGAGAAGAGGUAGUAUCUUCAUUCUUUCCACCAUCUUGAUUCUUUCUCUCUGACUGAGGCUCAGCCGGUCCAGCAGCCCACUGAGGAAAAACGUCAAGAAGAGGAGCCACCAACUGAAAAUCAGGGUAUUGCACCUACUGGGGAGAUCGAAAAUGAAGCGGCACCUGCCCUUCAAGGACCUGAUGUGGAAGCUUUUCAACAGGAACUGGCUCUGCUUAAGAUAGAGGAUGCACCUGGAGAUGGUCCUGAUGUCAGGGAGGGGACUCUGCCCACUUUCGAUCCCACUAAAGUGCUGGAAGCAGGUAAUGGGCAACCAUAGGUUUAAACCAAGACAAAUGAAGACUGAAACCAAGAAUGUUGUUCUUAUGCUGGAAAUUUGAC
rnacentral:lncRNA from 1 species